UGAACGCUGGCGGCGUGCCUAAUACAUGCAAGUCGAGCGAACAGACGAGGAGCUUGCUCCUCUGACGUUAGCGGCGGACGGGUGAGUAACACAUGGAUAACCUACCUAUAAGACUGGGAUAACUUCGGGAAACCGGAGCUAAUACCGGAUAAUAUAUUGAACCGCAUGGUUCACUAGUGAAAGACGGUUUUGCUGUCACUUAUAGAUGGAUCCGCGCCGCAUUAGCUAGUUGGUAAGGUAACAGCUUACCAAGGCAACGAUGCGUAGCCGACCUGAGAGGGUGAUCGGCCACACUGGAACUGAGACACGGUCCAGACUCCUACGGGAGGCAGCAGUAGGGAAUCUUCCGCAAUGGGCGAAAGCCUGACGGAGCAACGCCGCGUGAGUGAUGAAGGUCUUCGGAUCGUAAAACUCUGUUAUUAGGGAAGAACAAAUGUGUAAGUAACUAUGCACGUCUUGACGGUACCUAAUCAGAAAGCCACGGCUAACUACGUG
rnacentral:rRNA from 1 species